AACGAACGCUGGCGGCAGGCUUAACACAUGCAAGUCGAGCGCCCCGCGAGGGGAGCGGCAGACGGGUGAGUAACGCGUGGGAACGUACCCUUUGCUACGGAAUAGCUCCGGGAAACUGGAAUUAAUACCGUAUGUGCCCUACGGGGGAAAGAUUUAUCGGCAAAGGAUCGGCCCGCGUUGGAUUAGCUAGUUGGUGGGGUAAUGGCCUACCAAGGCGACGAUCCAUAGCUGGUCUGAGAGGAUGAUCAGCCUCAUUGGGACUGAGACACGGCCCAAACUCCUGCGGGAGGCAGCGGUGGGGAAUAUUGGACAAUGGGCGCAAGCCUGAUCCAGCCAUGCCGCGUGAGUGAUGAAGGCCUUAGGGUUGUAAAGCUCUUUCACCGGAGAAGAUAAUGACGGUAUCCGGAGAAGAAGCCCCGGCUAACUUCGUGCCAGCAGCCGCCGUAAGAC
rnacentral:rRNA from 1 species